GCCAUGUCGAUAACCAAAAGUGUCACCAUCAACCAAGCAGCGGAGUGUAGUCGCGGCGGUGAAGAAACACCACAAAAAGCCAGAGUGAGACGUCCCUCGCGCACUCUGCGGCGCGGCGGGCCCUGUGAUUGGUCCGGCUCCGGGUAUGACGUCAGUGCGGGAGCGAGUAGAGGAAGCGCGCAGCCCGGAGGAGAGGCAGAAGCUGGAGGACUGAGGAUGCGAGCGGACUCACCUGAGAGCAGACUCGCGCGGACUCUCUGUCUCUCUCACAAGGGCCCGAUGUCCACGCAGAGGAGGAGCCGUGUGGGACAAUUGGUUGCGACCUUUAAGUGGAGGACAUUUCUCCCCAGAGUCCGCUUUGCCUCCGGAAGAGAUCCCGUCAGCAUGGCGUCGGGCUUCAUCGGAGCGCGAGAGGGGGUCUGUUUCUGUCUUUGGUUAUCUAGCUGUAUGAGUUUUAAAUGCCUGUCAUAAAGCUAGAUAACCGAAAGUAGGAAUGACUUCCGGAACGUUGUUUUCAUCCCCGAAAGACGCGGGACUCCUUGAGCUUCCAACUGGGAAAAAGGUGAGGAAAUCGUUUUGCUUUGUGUGUGUGUGUGUGUGUGUUUUUUUUUUUAAGUUUGAUAAAAAAUAAAAUGAAACAAUUAGCAUUAAAUAAUCCCAAAUCGAUAAAAAACGUGUGUAUAAUGCAUUCGUUUUUAUGCUUCGUCAGUUAAUUUUUCUAUAUUCUUUUUAGUAUAGUAUACACACAUUUCCAGAGCUUUUUGCAGAACAAAAUGUUUAACUAGCUUCAGCAAUAUCAGUCAUGUUGGUCUGAAGAAAACAAAAAUACCGUUGAAAAAUUUGAAAAAAAAGUUAUCCCAGGAUGUCAUUAAUGGCUUUAGAGUGUAGUAGACAUUGUUUGUUUGUCUUUCUAUCUCAAUCCACUUUAUUUUAAGGAUUCAGUACAUGAGGUCCUUGUACAAAGGGUUUGCUGUCCAUUCAGGCCCUCUGCAACGUGGUGCUGCAUGUUAAACGGGUCGCUCCGCUGGAGGGGAACAGCACAGACCCCAACCGUUUUGUUUUCAUCCCGUGGAAGAAGAAGAUGAAAUUGAAUAAUACAUGCACAGAGUUCAUAUUACGUCAUAGUGUGUCUUUUUUCUCACAGGAGACAUUUAACUUGUCACAGAGGGGGAAGCACAAGUGUCACCAGUAACACUUAACAGAGGCUCUAUUCUAUUUCCAUGUAAGUCAUGACAAUGUGACAAUGUGACAAUGUGACACUAAUGUCUCCGCCUGUUAACGCAGUCAAGUGCUGGAGCAACCUACACACACACACACACACACACACACACAGGGAUAAAAAAGACACUUGGCGCAUGCAUUUAAAGCUGUAGCUAAUCUCAAGGCCUUUGGGACACAUUGUGUCGUGGCUGAAUGAGACGGGCCAGGAUCUGAGUUUUUGAACUUGGCACUUCAGUGCGGCGCACAUACGCUCGGCCCGCAGAAUGCCACCAAAAGCCUAAAUGGCACCAAAGUGAGAUGAGUUUUCAUUCACCCUCUCAACCUAGCAGAGCUCGCCGUCGAACCAGGCAAAUUGCUUCGCUUCACAGCGAUUUAUGUGAAAAAAGCCGGCAGUCCAAGUCUUUGCCCGAGCUUCCCGCUGUCGGGGCGUGCCAGCACGCCGCCGUUCCUCAGUGAAGAGGAGUAACAACACUUGAGGUCUUAUUUAUGGGAUAGUCAGGGAGUUCCUUUUGCAAUCUGCAUUGUUUUUUGUGCUUUGACUUUAAGCAAAAACACACACUCAUGCACGCACAAAAACUUAACAAGGGGACUGGCCGUUAAUGGAGAAAAGCUGGCAGAGAUUUAAACAUUUUUAAUAACUUUACAAGCACAUCUCAGUGCAAAUGUGAAGCGUUACAGGUUUAAAGAAGAAAGCAAAGU
ensembl:lncRNA